AUCCCUGUCCCUCACUAGCUCUGGAAAGCAGUGGGGAGACCUGAAAAUAAGGAAAGACGGACUAGAUUGGCAGGGAAGAUCUGUGGGAGUGAAGAAGGGUCCUCAGGCUCUUGCUGCCUGAAAUCUGUUUAUUUGUCUCAAGGGUCGCCUCCUCUGGGAAGUGUUCCCUGACCUUGCUAGGGUCCCUCCUUGAAACCCCAUCCGAAAUCAUUGCUAAUCAUCUGUGUACUGCCUCUCCUCCAAGGAAGGGCCAUGGGCUUGGUUCUUCACUGAGUGCCAGGAGUGGCUCCUUGCUGAGGGCUGUUUGCACCCUACUGACUCCUGCUUACACCUGGAAGUGAUGAGAAAUCCAUAAAUGGCCCGUCUUGGACCAUCGAUGGGUGGCUUACAUCCUGGAAACACUUGAGAAAGCAAACAAGAUCUAACAGUGAGUGAAGUAAGAGCCGAGUAACCUUGCCACCACCCUUCUACGUAUGCAUCCGAGCUGCCCAAACUCCUUAGUGCACAGAACCACGGGUACACUUUCUCCUCAUUCCUGUUUCUGUUAGAAUUGAAAACCUUCAAUAUUAAAACAUGGACACAAAAAAGUUUGGAUGAUCACAGCCUAGAGGGGCUCACCUGGACUUGGGCCUGAUUUCACGUUUGGCAGAAUCCUCUCAGUGACCGUGGGCCUGCUUUGGGUCCCCAGGUCCCUCUGGUCUCUGCUUCUCAGACUUUGAGGAAGCCAGGCAGAAACAGUAGAAGAAGUCUCCAGUUCAAGGUCAUGAAGCACAUCUGCAGUUCCUCUGGCCAUUCUGGGGAAUGAGGCCGUCCCUCCCCUACCUCUGGGUUUUAUCUUCACAGCCCCUUCAUCAUCGCCUUCCUGGCCAGAGUGUGCAGGGUGGAUUGGCAGGCUCGGUCUGAGGUCAGCAUGGGGUGAAUGGCAGACAGCUUGGUGCCAAGGACUGUACCCACAUGACCUGGCCACCCUACCCCACAUGAAUGCCAACAGCGGAGAUGGUUUUUUUAUGAUAAAGAUGUACGGCUUCCAAUAAUCAGGACAAAGUCAUGUACGUUCCUCCACCGCACUGUUUGCAGGAUAAAGCUCAGUCCCUUUCUAGAGGCCUGUCGAGGCCCCUGCCUGCAUUUCCGUACUCCUCUAUUGCUCCCCAUCCCCCCACCCAGGAUCUAUGACCCCUGAGCAAGGCCCCUUGGCUGUUCUCCCCUGUCCUUCAGUAACGUGACCCAGUCUGUCCAGCUCAAAUGUCCCCCCUCCCAGAUAGAAUCGGGGGCGCCCUCCUCUGUGCCCCGAAACCCACUGUCUCCCUCUGCACUGCAUUCUUC
rnacentral:lncRNA from 1 species